rnacentral:rRNA from 1 species
CCUACGGGAGGCUGCAGUGAGGAAUAUUGGUCAAUGGCCGGAAGGCUGAACCAGCCAAGCCGCGUGAAGGACGAAGGUGCCCAGCAUUGUAAACUUCUUUUGUCAAGGGACAAAAUCAGGCUCGAAACCCUGACCGAGGGUACUUGAAGAAACAGCAUCGGCUAACUCCGUGCCAUCGGCCGCGGUACUACGGUGGAUGCGAGGGUUAUCCGGAUUUAUUGGGUUGAACGGGUGCGUAGGCGGGCUGUUAAGUCAGCGGGAAUAGCCCGGGGCGCAGCCCCGGCGAGCCGUUGAAACUGGGUGUCUUGAGAUGUCGAGAGGUAUGCGGAAUGCGCAGUGUAGCGGUGAAAUGCGUAGAUAUAGCGCAGAACUCCGAUUGCGAAGGCAGCAUACCGGCGGCGAUCUGACGCUGAGGCACGAAAGCGUGGGUAGCGAACAGGAUUAGAUACCUCUGUAGUC